rnacentral:rRNA from 2 species
GGUUUAUUCGAAGCAACGCGAAGAACCUUACCAGGUCUUGACAUCCAACUAACGAAGUAGAGAUAUAUUAGGUGCCCUUCGGGGAAAGUUGAGACAGGUGGUGCAUGGUUGUCGUCAGCUCGUGUCGUGAGAUGUUGGGUUAAGUCCCGCAACGAGCGCAACCCUUGCUAUUAGUUGCUACGCAAGAGCACUCUAAUAGGACUGCUGUUGACAAGAUGGAGGAAGGUGGGGACGACGUCAAAUCAUCAUGCCCCUUAUGACCUGGGCUACACACGUACUACAAUGGAUGUUAACAGAGGGAAGCAAAACGGCGAUGUGGAGCAAAACCCUAAAAACAUUCUCAGUUCAGAUUGUAGGCUGCAACCCGCCUGCAUGAAGAUGGAAUUGCUAGUAAUCGCGGAUCAGCAUGCCGCGGUGAAUACGUUCCCGGGCCUUGUACACACCGCCCGU